GAGAGAAUCAAGCUCCUAUGAGCAACUCUCCACCCUAUGUUUACAUUACUUUGUUGCUUUGGCAGGCCGUAGGAUGUUAGUCUUCCACUGGCUUCUGCUGGUGAGUGCCUGUCAGAGAAAAUUUAUACUCUAUUUAUUAGUGUUGUCUGAGUAUCAUAUAAUUAUUA
rnacentral:misc_RNA from 1 species